GCGGACGUAGUGCACGGUGCACCGCUGUUAUACAUAAGAGCUGUGCACUUGCGUGUGAAGCAGCCAGACGGGGUUCGACUCCCCGCGUCCGCA